rnacentral:rRNA from 1 species
UGGGGAAUAUUGGACAAUGGGCGCAAGCCUGAUCCAGCAAUGCCGCGUGUGUGAAGAAGGCCUUCGGGUUGUAAAGCACUUUUAUCAGGAGCGAAACGCUGUCGGCUAAUACCCGGCGGAACUGACGGUACCUGAGGAAUAAGCACCGGCUAACUUCGUGCCAGCAGCCGCGGUAAUACGAAGGGUGCAAGCGUUAAUCGGAAUUACUGGGCGUAAAGCGUGCGUAGGCGGUUUCUUAAGUCUGCUGUGAAAUCCCCGGGCUCAACCUGGGAAUGGCAGUGGAUACUGGGAGGCUAGAGUGUGUCAGAGGGUGGUGGAAUUCCCGGUGUAGCGGUGAAAUGCGUAGAGAUCGGGAGGAACAUCAGUGGCGAAGGCGGCCACCUGGGACAACACUGACGCUGAGGCACGAAAGCGUGGGGAGCAAACAGGAUUAGGAUACCCUGGUAGUCCACGCCCUAAACGAUGCGAACUGGAUGUUGGUCUCAACUCGGAGAUCAGUGUCGAAGCUAACGCGUUAAGUUCGCCGCCUGGGGAGUACGGUCGCAAGACUG